CCAUGCGCGCCCCCACACUGAGCUCUUUCCUUCCUGCUUCUCCUUCUUCCCCAUCUCCUGCCCGAAGAUCCUCCGUGUUGGGCUGAACUUUUGCCCUCUCUUGUCCCCAUGUUAUGGAAGGGCAGCGGCUGGUGUCCCAGGCCAGCCUGUCUGGAGCCUCCCUGCGCGUCUCACAGCUCCCUUCCCAUGGUAGCGUGUUCCCAUGGCGCGGUGACCUACAAAUUACACAAGGGAUGCAUUUGCAAAGGACACUUUAUUUCUUGUUAAGGGUGACAGCCUGCAAGGUAGCCAUCCAGCAGCCUGGGAAGAGCAGCCUCUGGUUAACACCAGAGACAGACAUUUAGGAGCAGGAGGGGUUUGGGCAGGAGCUUUAUGCUGAAGAGGUUGGCUAAACAUACAUAUUCAACAGGCUACAGGAGGAGCUAUGAAUAUUCAUGUAGGUGGUUGCAGUCCAUGCUUAUUGAACAAACAUGUGUGGAACAUAUGAUCCCAGCCGGGCAUAGUGGCUGAUGCCUGUAAUCCCAGCACUUGGAGAGGCUGAGACAGGCGGAUCACCUGAGGUCAGGAGUUCGAGACCAGUCUGGCCAACAUGGUGAGACCCCAUCUCUACUAAAACUACAAAAUUAACCAGGUGUGGUGAUGCAUGCCUUUUACUCGGGAGGCUGAAGCAGAAGAAUCGCUUAAACUCGGGAGGCGGAGGUUGCAGUGAGUCCAGAUUGUGCCAUUGCAUUCCAGCCUGGACAAGAGGAGCAACACUCUGUCUCAAAAAAAAAAAAAAAAAAAAAAAAGAUGAUAUUUGGAGGCAGAGAGAUCCCAGAGGUGCGUGUGCAUAGAGGAAAGGCCACAGAGGACACGGCUGGAAGAGACUCCCUGCCAGCCAGAAGGAGCGGCCUCAGAGGAAACAACCCCACCCACCCCUCGAAGUUGGACCUGCAGCUUCCAGAUCUGUGAGAAAAUAAAUGCCUGCCAUGUGGGCACCUGGCCUGGGACAUCUUCUAUGGAGGCCACAGCAUGAAAGGGUCAUUUUUAUGGAGAAUCUCAUUCUCUAAAACUUACAUCUGCUUUGAAAAUGUCAAAUCAAAUUUAAAGUGUUUAGAAGAGCCUCUAAAUUUCAUAUUUCAUUUGCAAAGAAAGAAUUGUAAUUUGAGACAGUCUCAGGAGUCAGGCUUGCAGAGAAGUCCAUUUCGGAAACAAUGUUGUGUGGCCUGACUGCUUUUCCUCCCUGGCUCCUGGCCUCUGUUUUAGCUGGGUAGGACAUGAAUGACCCAAUUCAUAGGAUGAAAUUUACAAAGGAUGUUUCUCAAAACUUCGGGUUUUCAACUUACAUAUAUUCACACCUGUUUAGGUUGAGUUUAUUUAUCGAUUUAUUUUCAGGCAGGGUCUCUAUCUGUUGCCCAGACCCGAGUUCAGUGGCGCGAUCUCUGUUCACUCCAGCCUCCACCUCUCGGGCUCAAGUAAUCCUCCCACUUCAGCCUCCCAAGUAGCUUGGACUACAGAUGCAUGCCACCACAUCUGGCUUUUUUUUUUUUUUUUUUUU
rnacentral:lncRNA from 1 species